AAGGUUGUUUCUUAUGCUAGUAUCAUUAAUUUAUUACCACAGACAGGAUUGAGGUGGACUUUAAAGAACAUUGUUUCUGAUAUCUAAUUAUUGGCUGUAAGAAUGGUUUCAUAGCACCUUCUCUCUUUGCUUAGGAGUGGGGUACUCUCCACAUGCUGCUGUUUUGUUUUCAUGAAGUAAUGCAAACCUGGUUGUUACAGCCUAUUUUUUCUUAUGUGUAAAAUGCCUUCUAAGCCAUGGUUAGAUUGUAUGUCUGAAUCAAACUUAAAUAAGUCAAGUUAUUAAAUUACUCUUUUUAGAAGA
rnacentral:lncRNA from 1 species